GAGAUGGAGAUGCUACUUUGAUCAGCUGUUCAAUGUGAGUUAUGAGGAUGAUUUUACAAACCUUAUUGUUCCUUUGAUAGAGAAGAACCUUAGCUAUACUCAUGGAAUCAAGUUUGUUAAAGUUGAACAGGUCAUGAAAAAUAUGAAGAUAGGUAGAACUUGUAGCCUAGUUGGUGUCCUGAUAAAAAUAUGGAAGUGUUGUGGGGAGGUUGGAGUUGCUUGGUUAACAAUGCAAUUCGAUGGCAUACUAAAAUUUGAAAAAAUGCUGAAGGAGUGAAAUAUCUUUAAGAAUAAAUUAUGCAUUUAAGAUUGUACAAAUUACUGUGGCAUUAAAUUUGAUGAGUCACUCGAUAAAGCUAUGAUAGAUAAUGAUUGGAUGCAAACUUAGGGAUACUUCUAAUGUAUUAGAGAACGCGUUUGGCUUUAUGCUUGGUAGAUCUAUAAUAGAGUCUACUUUUUGUUAAGAAGAUUAAUGAAA
rnacentral:misc_RNA from 1 species